rnacentral:rRNA from 1 species
AGCUAACGCAUUAAGUGUACCGCCUGGGGAGUACGGUCGCAAGAUUAAAACUCAAAGGAAUAGACGGGGACCCGCACAAGCGGUGGAGCAUGUGGUUUAAUUCGAAGAUACGCGAAGAACCUUACCUGGGCUUGAUAUCCUAAGAACCUUAUAGAGAUAUGAGGGUGCUAGCUUGCUAGAACUUAGAGACAGGUGCUGCACGGCUGUCGUCAGCUCGUGUCGUGAGAUGUUGGGUUAAGUCCCGCAACGAGCGCAACCCACGUAUUUAGUUGCUAACGGUUCGGCCGAGCACUCUAAAUAGACUGCCUUCGUAAGGAGGAGGAAGGUGUGGACGACGUCAAGUCAUCAUGGCCCUUAUGCCCAGGGCGACACACGUGCUACAAUGGCAUAUACAAUGAGACGCAAUACCGCGAGGUGGAGCAAAUCUAUAAAAUAUGUCCCAGUUCGGAUUGUUCUCUGCAACUCGAGAGCAUGAAGCCGGAAUCGCUAGUAAUCGUAGAUCAGCCAUGCUACGGUGAAUACGUUCCCGGGUCUUGUACUCACCGCCCGUCACACCAUGGGAGUUGAUUUCACUCGAAGCCGGAAUACUAAACUAGUUACCGUCCACAGUGGAAUCAGCGACUGGGGUGAAGUCGUAACAAGGUAACCGUAGGAGAACCUGCGGUUGGAUCACCUCCUUUCUA